CAAUAGCGUAUAUUAAAGUUGUUGCAGUUAAAAAGCUCGUAGUUGGAUUUCUGGGAGGGUGCCGCCGUCCGGCGUGUCCGUGUGCAGUGGCGCCCUUCCAUCCUUCUGUUAGCGUCUCUUGGCAUUCAUUUGCUGGUGGCGGGCUCAGAUAUUUUACCUUGAGAAAAUUAGAGUGUUUCAGGCAGGCUAGGCCGGAAUACAUUAGCAUGGAAUAAUGGAAUAGGACUACGGUCUCUUUGUUGGUUUGAGGGACUGCAGUAAUGAUUAAUAGGGAUAGUUGGGGGCAUUAGUAUUUAAUUGUCAGAGGUGGAAUUCUCAGAUUUGUUAAAGACUAACUUAUGCGAAAGCAUCUGCCAAGGAUGUUUUCAUUA
rnacentral:rRNA from 1 species